rnacentral:lncRNA from 1 species
UUGGAAUUUGAUUAUUGUAUUAAUCCCAUUGCCAAUUGCUAAAUUCCUUUGCAGGGUAAUUAGCUUGUUAUCUGAUUUUGUCUUGCUUCCACUGAGUCAAGAUGUACAUAGGUGGAAAAUGCAUUAAAUAAGCCAUCUUGAUUGAUGGCUUCUUUUCAAUGCCAGCGAGUCCAUGCAAAUACAAAUGACACCAUAUAUAUUACUCUCAAUAGGUAGAGGUUUUAAAGAAUCAGGUCAUUUAUUAUGGAACAUAAUCAGAUAGUAGGUAUAUUUUUAAUAAGCAUUUCUCAUAUGACUAAUUGUUUUUUUUUUGGGGGGGGAUUCAUUCUGAGAUACUGUUGCCAAUACCUUUCACAUCUGUCAACCCAAGCUCCAUGAAAACUGGACCCCUGAAUUCUUUUCAGCAUCCUCCUCCAGCAGAAUAGGAAUAAGCGAUGAUACUUCUGUGUCAGCUGAGUAGAGGUGGAACUGUGUCACUUGUCAUAUUAAAAGAGCGAUAUGUGAUGUCUUUAAAGUGAAGCUCCUGACCUCUUUGUUUUUUAUUUUUUUAUUUUUUUUUCCUAAUCAAGAAAAUAUCAGCCACUUUCACAGCUGGACUCCAAUAGCACCUUCUACAUAUUUUUAUUCCAGCAUUUCAGUGUGCUCUGCUGUGGUGAUUUGAUUAUGUAUUGGUCUCCACUUUUCUUUCAUCAACUCAAGGGGACUUGAUUUACUUUCCUAUUCAUGUGUGUAUCACUGGAGGAAUUUGUAAAUAAUAAACUUUUAUUAACUAGGAAAUAAGUGGAACAACCCUCGAGAUCAUGAUCCUAGUGUCAAUUACGUAACACAAACAAAAAUAUUUUUUAAAAUGUAUAUGUAUUAUAAUAUAAAAGGCAGAAAGAAGUGGCCCACUCCCUCCUAGGUGACCUGGAGAAUUAGAGCAGUGCCUUCUAGCUUAUAUAUGUUUUCUUCAAUAAUAGGACCCUCUCCUUCUAGGUCAGUUACAUCUUGGGAUCUCUUUCAAAUAAUUCUGUGAAGACGGUAUCUAGCCUUAUAAGCAGAACUUACCUUACUGGCAGGCACAGAAAAACAAGAAUCAUUAUGAAGGUAGAGUAUACAUACAUGUCAGAAUAGAGUUUCUACUUAGAAAAAACUUUAAUAUUGUCUUAUAUACCAGCAGUAAGUUUUCUAACCAUGAAAAUGAUUGAUGUGAAAUUUCCAAAAAUGCAUUUUUUAAUAAAAUUUAUCCCUCCAAAAACAUUUUUGAAUCUUACUAUUAUGUUAUUAACUUACCUAUAAAUCAGUAUUAUUUCAACUGAUUAUUUAAAAAGAAGACUUGAAUAGACAUUAAAGCUGUUCUGGCUCUUACAGGAUUAAUAUAAAACACUCUCAAGUUAUAAUAGAAUUUUAAAUCUGAAUGACUUUUUCUUUUUGAGAAAAUGAUAUUAAUGAAAUACAUAUUAAAAAUUUUUUUUUUGGACAGGCUAAGUUUUAAAAUAAGACUCAAGUCUUCCAUUAAUUAAAGUUUGUUCUAAGGGAUUAAAAAGAUCAACUUUCCGUUUUUAAAUGCUAAAUAUAGAAAGCGUACAUGUUAGAGUAAGUUAUAAAAUCUGUCCUUCAUAAAUAGAACUAAAAUUAAAUUGAAUAGGGAACAAUGGGUCGUGUUUAAAGACAAAUACAUAAUAAAUGCUAAAAUGUGCUGGCAAUAGUCUGACUUACAAGACACAUUGUUGAAUUUAAGACAGGGCUUUGUCCCAACACUUACUGACAACUAUGAUUUAACAUUUUUUAAAUUAUUGUAAAUGCUACCAUAUAUGUCGUUGAAACCUCAGACAAAUUUCAUGGCCAUUAUCUUUUAUUUUUGUGAUGAAGGAAAAAAAGUUCAGGUACUAAAAGGUCAGUUUUACUAAAUCUAUAGCUAAAACUGAAUUAAAUGUCUAGGCUUUCUAUAGGAUAAUAAAAGAAUCUCACAGCUAAAUCAGUUUAUUAAAACUAAAAAUCAAUUGAGUGAGGGAGGGCAAUCCGAUCCUAGUAUUCCCAGUAUUGUAUUUAUUUUGAUUAUUUUAAAACACCAUGUAGAUGCAUAAACUACACACUGGACACUCUAUUAGAUUCUUUUUAGGCAUCCCACAACACAAUGGGCAAUGAUCCUUGGUAGAUUUCCACACAGCUAAUGAAUGGUCUAUUGCCUCUUUUCCUCACUUCUUUUAGAGAACUGUGUGUUUUUUCUACCCAGUUAAGACCACACGUCUUCUGUAUUUAUGCUAUUUUUUUUUAUUUGGAUUUACAGUGCUGGUUUUGGCUGUCUGACCUCCCCCCCUGGCAACUGAUCAUAUGAUUUCAUGUCUGUGUCAGAAUGCACUUUAGAAUCUAGAAGCUGCAGUGAAGAGCAGCUAGGUAAAGGGAGGUUCUCAUGUAUACUUCCCAUAAUUGUGUACGUAAAGAAAUAUAGGAGGUAGGAUUUAGAUGCUUGAUAUGCAUAAAUAAAAAAUAAAGAUGGAAGAAGAUCUAAAUCUAGUAAAAAGCCAAUUAGAGACACACAGGAAACUGACAACCCACUGGCUAUGUGAGUAAUGCUUCUUCCUGAAUUAUUUUUUGACUAAAUCUAGUAAGAUAGCAUUAUACUCACUUCUAAUAAGUAUUAUGACUUGAUUCUGUUAUUUCAAAUUUAUAAUUAAUGGUAAUUAAUACAUUUUCCUUUAUUUUGGCUUCCUUUAUUCAUUGCUACCCCCCCCAACAAUGGUAGUCUGCCACUCUCUCUACACUGUACCCUCCCAUAUAUUUUUGAUUCCUUCCCUUUGACUUUACAAUUCUGAGCCCAUGCCUCCAACCCAGAACCUAUUUUGUGUUAAAAAACCAUUACAUUUGGAUCUACUAACAAUGCUAAGAAAGUGUUUAAUCCCACUCCUUUCGUUUUGUUGAUGAGAAAAUUGAGAUACAAAGACAUGUGUGUCAGACACUCUCAAUUGAACUUACAGGAAACAUAAUAUAUAUGAAUAUAGUAGUUUACUGAAUAUGUUUAUAUAAAUUAUUGGGUUUUUAUCCUCUUAAGACUCUGUUAAGAAUAGUCUUUAUUACACAUAUUUAUAAAUAAGAAAUUGAAUAUUUUAGAGGUUAAGUGAUUGCCCCAAAUCACAUGACUAAGGGUUGACCCCAGGUCUAAAUUUUGAUCUUCUAAUACCUAAUCCAGUGUUUUUUCCAUCACGGUAUUCCAGCGUUGCCUUUUCCAUUCACUCUGUCUUAUUAUUUCUAACUUAAUUCUAAUCGCCGAUUCGUUUUUCAAUAUUAGAUAUUUGUGACAUUACAUGCACACACAAACACACUCAUCUUUUAGGGCACAGCAUGUAGUCCUAAGCUUCCAGAGCAGCUAAUACAAGCAAAGUCUUUUGUGAGAGUUUUUAUGGCUUUUAUUCAUUUGCUGAGUAUGUUUCAAUUGGUUUCAAUUGGUACAAUU